UACGUAGGGGGCGAGCGUUGUCCGGAAUCACUGGGCGUAAAGGGCGCGUAGGCGGCAUGCCAAGCGUGUGGUGAAAGCCCGGGGCUCAACCCCGGGUCGGCCGUGCGGACUGGCGUGCUCGAGCACUGUAGGGGCGGGUGGAAUUCCGGGUGGUAGCGGUGGAAUGCGUAGGAGAUCCGGAAGAACACCGGUGGCGAAGGCGGCCCGCUGGGCAGGAAGGC
rnacentral:rRNA from 1 species